rnacentral:rRNA from 1 species
GACGAACGCGGCGGCGUGCCUAAUACAUGCAAGUAGAACGCUGAAGGAGGAGCUUGCUCUUCCGGAUGAGUUGCGAACGGGUGAGUAACGCGUAGGUAACCUGCCUGGUAGCGGGGGAUAACUAUUGGAAACGAUAGCUAAUACCGCAUAAUAGUAGAUGUUGCAUGACAUUUGCUUGAAAGGUGCAAUUGCAUCACUACCAGAUGGACCUGCGUUGUAUUAGCUAGUUGGUGGGGUAACGGCUCACCAAGGCGACGAUACAUAGCCGACCUGAGAGGGUGAUCGGCCACACUGGGACUGAGACACGGCCCAGACUCCUACGGGAGGCAGCAGUAGGGAAUCUUCGGCAAUGGACGGAAGUCUGACCGAGCAACGCCGCGUGAGUGAAGAAGGUUUUCGGAUCGUAAAGCUCUGUUGUAAGAGAAGAACGAGUGUGAGAGUGGAAAGUUCACACUGUGACGGUAUCUACCAGAAAG